AAAAGCCUGUUCUGAUCUGGUUGGUGGUUGUGCCGGGGAGGACUCCUUAACAGAAGAAUCAUCUCUGUCUUCUGCGGAGGAACAGACAAAUCACAUCUACACUUCAGCCCUGCAUGCCACUCUGAGGAGGUGCUCUGAGAAAACCCUGGGCGGGCCUUCUGCCUGACCUCGCUUUGCAGGUUCCAUGGAGCUCAACUGUCUGGGUGCUGUCUUUCUGAGCUCUGACUGACUGGGAAGCCCAGGAGGCCUAGAUUCCUAGUCUGUGGGAUAUGGGGUCAUGGAGCAGCUGCGGAAGCAUGCCAGGCAGCAUACUUAGGAAUAGAAACCCUGACUAGGACAGACGGCUACCUACAGCUGAGCAGGAAUCUGAUCCAAAGGAGACAGACAUAAAAUGAAGGCAGAGGCGCCACAUUUUCAUCCUGCUUUCAGUUACACACUGGGCACCACAGGUCCGAAGGAAGAGGUGGCGCUUUAGCAAGAGCAACCUCAGUCACUGUGAGAGGACCAGACCUUACAGUUCCGCCAUGCUCUAAGUCAGUGGUUUGUCAACCUUCCUAAUGCGGUGGCCCUUUAAUAAUAAUGCUGUGGUUCCUCAUGCUGUGUUAACCCCAAGCCAUUAAAUUAUUUUGUUGCUACCUCAUAA